UGGAGGUUCCCAGACUAGGGGUUGAAUUGGAGCUGCAGCUGCUGGCCUUCACCAGAGCCAUAGCAACACGGAAUCUGAGCCACGUCUGCAACCUACACCACAGAUCACGGCAACGCCGGAUCCUUAACCCACUGAGCAAGGCCAGGGAUCGAACCCACAAUCUCACGGUUCCUAGUCGGAUUCGUUAACCACUGUGCCACGACAGGAACUCCCUAUAAAACCUAUUCCUACCCUCGAGCAGCUUAGAAUCUUAUUUAUCAGACACAUUAUAUAAUAAAAAAUAAAUAAAGGUGUCAGUGAACUAAAGAGUUAUAUUAAUUAGCAGCCUCUCUAUUUUUCUAAGCUGUAUCCCUAUCAUAAGGACUUGAAAUCUGGAGGUUCCAUUUCUCAAAUUUUUUGCCACCAAGGUUCUAUGUUUAGUUUCACUGAAGAAGCACUUGGAUGAAACUGGGGGUGGUAGAAUUCGUUUGUCUUUGACUCUGACAGCAACGGUAGCAACAGAUUCAUGGAAAAUCCUCCAACACAGGCGCCUGCAGUGGGAGUAGCAUGGCGCCACAGUCCCCCGUAAUGACCAAGUGGGCAAUUUAGGGGCAGAUGGAUACUAAGACAGAAGCAAUUGGUUUCCUGCAGUCCCUGAUCUGGAUUUGCUUCUCUGGUCCUUUCAAUUGUAACCCAACCCCCUGUAUUCGUCUAUCCUUGAAAAACAUCAACAGGUUGAGUCUCUUUGACGGACCCAGGACUACAAGUUACCAAGCAGCAUUAUCUCUUCUGAUCCCUUUGGGAAAUAAGCUAAAUAUUACUACACAAAGCAGUUUUCUAACUCUACCACCAACUCCUCUGGCUAUCUUUUCCUCAACCAUUAUUGAGCUUCAUCUGUUAAUGGUCAAGACUAUGGAACAUGGUAAAGUAGGAAAAUUAAAGUUUUUCAUCUCAAACAUUUGACAGACUCAUAUUCUUGGAUUACUGAUGUUUACCUUGUAAAACAGGAAUAACAUCCUAAGCACAGCUUGACACUCCUUGAGUUGAGGGCAAUGAUUACAUAAUCAUUGAAGGAUUAGUCUGAUUUUAAAUUAAGCUCAUCAAAAGUCAGUAUUUCACCUGAGUUUGAGUAUACAUAUGCAUUUAUCAUAUACCUUUUAAAAUUAUCCCCCUUACCUAGAUUCCCAUAUUCCCAUACACAUAGAAAGCUAACUAUAUAUUUUUUUAAUAGAAUCAUUUUAAUUUUUUUCCAUUAUAGCUGGUUUACAGUAUUCUGUCAAUUUUCUACUGUAUAGCAUGGUGACCCAGUUUCACAUACAUGUAUAUAUUCUUUUUUCUCACAUUAUCACGCUCCAUCCUAAGUGACCAGACAUAGUUCCCAGUGCUACCCAGCAGGAUCUCAUUGCUAAUCCAUUCCAAAGGCAAUCGUCUGCAUCUAUCAACUCCAAGCACCCCAUCCAUCCCCCUCCCUCCCCUUCCCCCUUGGCAACCACAAGUCUAUUCCCCAAGUUCAUGAUUUUUUUUUCUGUGAAAAGGUUCGUUUGUGUCAUAUAUUAGAUUCCAGGUAAAAGUGAUAUCAUAUGGUAUGUGUCUUUCUCUUUCUGACUUCACUCAGUAUAGAGAGUCUCUAGUUCCAUCCAUGUUGCUGCAAAUGGCAUUAUUUUGUUCUUUUUUAUGGCUGAGUAGUAUUCCAUUGUGUGUAUAUACCACAUCUUCGUAAUCCAAUCAUCUGUCAUGGACAUUUGGGUUGUUUCCAUGUCUUGGCUAUUAUGAAUAGUGCUGCAAUGAACAGGCGAGUGCAUGUGGAAACCUAACUAUAUUUCAUAAUGCAGAUGACCUAAAACCAUGCAGGAUUCAGUGACAGUAUAGAAAUCAAUAUGUUCCUCAAAAUAUACAUGCAUGAUUAUUUUAGUGAGAGAAAAUAAGUCAACGCUUCUGUUAUUCAAAAAUCAAUGCUGAUUGGGCAGAUUUCUGGCUCUGGGUAAGAUGGUAUAAGCAUACUUCACUCACUUUACUAUUGAAUAAAACUAUAAAACCUGGGCAGAUGACACAAAGCAGCCAUUGGAAAACUCUACAAGGUCCCUGGCGGCCUAGUGUUUAAGGAUUAGGCAUUGUCACUGCUGUAGCUCAGUUUUGAACCCUGGCCUGGGAAUUUCCACAUGCUGCGGACGUGGCCAAAAAACAAACACUCUGAAAAUAGCAGCACAUCAAGCUCUGAAAUUGACUGUAAUCUCAAGUACAAUCGAACUGCCAUUGGGUUUACCAUUUAUUUUCUAGCUGUAUCCUCUAUCCUAAACCUUAGCUGGAAAUCUAGAAAUAAGCAUUGUGAUAGGCAUUGAGAAAGCUCUAGGAGCCCUCCAAUUCUCACCCAUCCAACAAAAAAAGGCAACUCUUAACACUUACAGAGUGUGGAAACUCCCCACUUUUGUUCUUUGUUUCUUCCUUUUGUCAGUUUUCUCUUGACUUUGUCCCCAGGCAAUUCCAUGGCAAUGACCAGUAAUGGAGGUCAGCAAAGGUGAACAUUCAAAGGGGACUCUUUGAAUCCAUUAGGUGGAGGUGUGAUCACAAGAGACCAAGGCCAAUCCUUGUUAUUUCUUUUACUCUCUCUCGCCUCCUACUGGCUGGACCCCAAAAAAAGCACACACAGUGAAAUGCACAGCAGAGCCUAGAGGACUGAAAAGGUAAGCUCGCUCUAAGGAACUGAAAUGUACUAGAGAGGGGACAGAAAAGAAGAUGCUCAGGAAAGUGACCUUGUAACAUCACUUAUGAAUUCCAAAGAUAACCAUCAAGUCAAGAAUGUGUGGAUCAGAUUGUAAUUCACACACCAAAGAUCUAGAACUCAACAAAUAGACCACGAGGUGGGUCACAGACUGACCAGUGGGUUGUACAUACCCUGAACAGAACCAAAGAGUACUGCAAUGACUCUGCAAAAUGGAUCGAUAUUGGAACAAUAGCUCCCUGAAGGUAGGUUGGAACUUGCAGCCUAAACCUAACCAUGUAAACUGCCUGAUUUAAAAAAUAAAAACAGAAAAACACAUUCUUCACAAGAUUUAAGCACAACCCAGUGCCUCAGAAUGUAAUCUUCAAAAUACCCACGAUAGAUUCCAAAAUUACUCAACGUACUAAGAACCAUGAGAAUUUCAACUCACACAGGAAAAGAUAAUCAAAUGCCAGUGCCGACACGAUACAGAUGUUGAAAUUAUGUGACAAAGACUUUAAGGCAGCUCUUACAUAAAUGUUUGAAUGACCCGUCAUGAACAUUUUUGAAACAAAUGUCUAAGAAUCUCCAAAACAUAGACAAUAUAAAGGAAAAAAAUGGAAAUCUUAGACCUAGAAAUGAAAAGACAAAAAUUAAAAACUCACUGGACAAACUCAAGACCAGAGUGAAGAUGGCUAAUGAAAGUCAGCAGACUUGAAGAUAAAUCAACAGAAAUUAUCUAAUCUGAACAGAAGGAAAAACAGGUUGAGAAAUAAAUGAGUAGAGCUUCGGAGACGUGUGAUUGAGUAACAAAAGGCCUAACAUUCCUGUCAUCGACAUCCCUGACAGAUGUAGAGGAAAAUGUGUGCUAAAAACAUACAUGAAGAAACAAGAGUGGAAAAUUUCUCAACUCCGGCUAGAGACAAAUGUACUGAUUCAAGUAUCUGAGCAAACCCCAAACAAACAUCAUGGAUUUGGGGGGGGGGUUUACCCUAAGACAAUCUGCUAUGAACUAAAAACAUUCCAUUUGGGGUGAUGAAAAAGUUCUGUACCAAGAGUGGAAAUAGCUGUUCAGCACUGUGACUGUAACUAAUGCCAAUGAACUGUACACUGCAAAAUGGCUAAAAUUUCAAAUUUUAUAUUAUGUGUAUCUUACCACAAUUGAAAGGGGAAAAAAAAGACCAUCUUCAAGGAAGCCAGAGUAAAAUGAUAUCUUACAUGAUGGCAAUGAUUAGAAUGAUUGCAGUAUCUCAUACAAAACAUCAAGGCUAGAAAUAGCACAAAAAUUUUAAAGAACUGUCAUCUCACCUUAGAGUAAAAAAACAUCUAUUAGUAAUAAAAGUGAAACAAAGACACUCUCAGAUGAAGGCAAACACUGAGAAUUCAUAGCAAACCUACUCCUAAAGAAUAAUUAAAGGAAGAGCAUCAGAAGGAAGGAAAAUGACACUAGAAGGGAACAUGAACAGAAGCAGCAAAAAUGCUAACUAACUGGACAAAUGUAACCUAUUCUCUUGAGCCCUUUAAAAUGUGUGUGAUGGUUAAAAGCAAAAAGUGCCUGAUGACAUUUUCAGUGAAUGUAGAUGUUAUACACAUCAAUGGCAUCAAGGAGGAAGUGUAAAGGGAUUUAUGAGAUAAUGGCUCUAAAUUCCAAAUGAAGUGAUGAUAUAAACCAUAUGCUCAAAAGUUAAAUAUGUACUCUGUCAUACAUGGAGCCACUAAAAACACUCAACAACGAGAUACUGUCAAAAUUACAAUUAACAGAGAAUACUGAAAAUGUUCAAAUAAGGCAGAGCACCACAGGAACAAACAAAUAGGGAACAACAGAUAAUGGAAGGGUAGACCUAAACCCAGUAUGUCAAUAAUAUCACGUGUACACGCUCUAAACGUAACUAUUAAAAGUCAGAUUUUCAUAUUAGAUUUUUAAAUUGACUCAACUGUAUGCGAUCUCUAAGAAAUCCACUUUAAAAUUAUGCAUGUGGCUAGGUCACAAGUCAAAGAAUGAAAAAAAAAUGCAUACUGCAAAUCAAAAGUAAAAUGGAAAGGCAAGAAAUUCAUUUAUAUCAUAGGCAAAAAUCAUGACCAGUCAUCUCAUUGAAGAGGAUAAGAAGAUAGAAAACAAGUAUAUGCAAAGAUUUUCAUCAUCAUCAUCAACCAUCCAAGAAAUGCAAAUUAAAACCAUGAUGAGCUAUCGCUACACAUCAGAAUAGUUAAAAUAAAACAGGGGCAACAUCAAAUUCUGAAAAGAAUGUAGAGAAACUGGAUCAUUUAUAGGCUGCUUAUGGGAAUACAAAAUGAUGCAGCCAUUCUGGAAAGCCACUAAAUAAUUUUUAGUUCCUGAUAAAAUUAACCAUUAGUGGUUGCUAGGAGCUGGAUACUGAGGAAGGGCGUGGGAGGUGAGUGUGAUUACAAAAGAGCAAUACAAGAGAUCCUCGUGGAUCUGCUCUCUACCUUGACUGAUGGUAAAUACGAAAAUAUACCUAUGUGAUAAAAUUGCAUUUAACUAAUAUAAAUGUCAGCACACGUAAAACUGUAUAAAUCUGAGUAAGAUUUGAGAUUAGAAUCAGCAUCAAUUUCCUGGUUGUGGUACUGUAUUAGAAUCUAAGAUGGCACCAUCAGGAGUAAUUAGGAGUGAACUCUACUUGCAAUUGCACAUGAAUGUACAAUUCUCAAAAUCAUUUAAGUAAAAAAGGAAAACCAGAGUGAAUGGCUGCAUUAAUAAGCAAAAUAAACUUCAGAGUCAAGAACAUUACCAGAGACAAAGAUGGAGUAAUACCUAACGACAUUACCAGAGACAAAGAUGGAGUAAUACCUAACGAUAAAAGAACUGAUUCACCAAGACUCCAUAUCCUAUAUAUAUGCACCUAACCACAAAGCCCAAAAUACACAAAGCAAAACUGACAAAAAGAAAAUAAAUCCACGAUUAUAGGUGAAGACUUCAACACACCCCUCUCAUUAAGGUGAAACUAGUACACAGAAACUCAGCAAGGCUAGCAAAGAACUGAAUAUCAACCAAUCAAUUGGACCUAGUUGAUUAUACACAUAUAGCACACCCCAUACAAUACUAGAAAAAUCCACAUUCUUUAAACAUUCAAUAAGAUAAGCCAUAACGUAGGUCAUAAUAAAACUCAGCUGAUGUCAAAAGACUGAGUCAUACAGUGUAUAUUCUUAGAUCAUAAGGCAAUUAAACUAGAAAUUACUAAUAGGAGUAACUCCAGAUAUUUGAAAUUAAAAUUCAAUAUUGUACAAACUAGUUGAACUUUUGUGUUAUCUUAAUACAUGAAAAAAACAUUUGUUUUUUUGUCAUUUUAGGGCUGCACCUGCAGCAUAUGGAGGUUCCCAGGCUAGGGGUCCAAUCAGAGCUGCAGCUGCUGACCUACACCAUAGCCACAGCAAUGCCAGAUCCAAAUCGCAUCUGCAACCUGCACCACAGCUCAUGGCCAUGCCUGAUCCUUAAUCCAUUGAGAGAGGCCAGGGAUUGAACCCACAUCCUCAUGGAUGCUAGUCAGAUUCAUUUCUGAUGAGCCAUGAUGGGAACUCCAAAAAUUUUUUAAUUAUAUCUAAUUAAAUUCAUGGCACAUUUUUUUCUUUUAAAUCAAGGGAUUUAAUGUUGAUUAUCAAUGCUGGUGUGAAACAGUAAAGAACAUUUGAGCUAUGCUCUGUCUACAAGGUCAUACCAAAUAAGAGACUACUCCAUCAGUUGUGUCUAAGUCACCCAAAAAACCUUAAUACUGUCAAUAGGGUCCCUCUCUCCUUAGCUUUCUGUUCAUCAUCUUGAAUUUUGUCAAUAACAACAAUAUUCAUUUAAGGAAUCCCGCCCUAAAACAUCAGUCCAUUAAGACUGAGACUCUACGGAGUUCCCGUCGUGGCUCAGAGGAAAUGAAUCCAACUAGUAUCCAUGAGAAUGUGGGUUCGAUCCUUGGCCUCACUCAGUGGGUCAGCAAUCUAGUGUUGCCGUGAGCUGUAGUGUAGGCUACAGCUGCAGCUGUAAUUCAUCCCCUAGCCUGGGAACUUUCAUAUGCUGUGGGUGUGGCCCUAAAAAG
rnacentral:lncRNA from 1 species